rnacentral:rRNA from 1 species
AGAGUUUGAUCCUGGCUCAGGACGAACGCUGGCGGCGUGCCUAAUACAUGCAAGUCGAGCGAAUUGAUUAAGAAGCUUGCUUCUUAUGACGUUAGCGGCGGACGGGUGAGUAACACGUGGGCAACCUGCCCUAUAGUUGGGGAUAACUCCGGGAAACCGGGGCUAAUACCGAAUGAUACAUUUUAACUCCUGUUAGAAUGUUGAAAGAUGGUUUACGCUAUCGCUAUAGGAUGGGCCCGCGGCGCAUUAGCUAGUUGGUGAGGUAACGGCUCACCAAGGCGACGAUGCGUAGCCGACCUGAGAGGGUGAUCGGCCACACUGGGACUGAGACACGGCCCAGACUCCUACGGGAGGCAGCAGUAGGGAAUCUUCCACAAUGGGCGAAAGCCUGAUGGAGCAACGCCGCGUGAGUGAAGAAGGUUUUCGGAUCGUAAAACUCUGUUGUAAGGGAAGAACAAGUACAGUAGUAACUGGCUGUACCUUGACGGUACCUUAUUAGAAAGCCACGGCUAACUACGUGCCAGCAGCCGCGGUAAUACGUAGGUGGCAAGCGUUGUCCGGAUUUAUUGGGCGUAAAGCGCGCGCAGGUGGUUUCUUAAGUCUGAUGUGAAAGCCCACGGCUCAACCGUGGAGGGUCAUUGGAAACUGGGAGACUUGAGUGCAGAAGAGGAAAGUGGAAUUCCAAGUGUAGCGGUGAAAUGCGUAGAGAUUUGGAAGAACACCAGUGGCGAAGGCGACUUUCUGGUCUGUAACUGACACUGAGGCGCGAAAGCGUGGGGAGUAAACAGGAUUAGAUACCCUGGUAGUCCACGCCGUAAACGAUGAGUAAUAAGUGGUAGGGGGUUUC